ensembl:lncRNA
GACAACAUCAAGGCAACAUGGCUGAACUUGCCUGAGACUUUCAUGUCAGUCAGAGAAAAAGGCGAGCCCUGUGCUAUGCCCUCCACGUGCAUCAAUAGAAACCCCCUCAUGCAGCCCCAGCCUCAGCGCAUCAUCUACCGCUGCCUCCUGGGACAGCAGUCUUCACAACCCAACAUAUGGGUUUCAUGUUUAAUGCAUAAGUUCAGUAUGAGCCAAGCGUCUAUUCUUAAAGCACUGUAUGGAGGUUUGGGCUCCGAAGACGGGUCUCUGUCGUAAUUAUAAUAUUAAAAACCUCUUUUAGAAGCAACAUUGGAUUGCUUUCGUUUGUGGUGCAGACACAGAAUGUGUGGGCAUUAUACCAUCGCCCGGGUAAUGACAGUGGAAUAAAGACAGCUGUCAAUCUGGAUCAGGAUAGAGCUGAGCACACUGUUUUUUCCAUUAAUGAAGCAGAACACUUUUAAAUUGCAGAAAUUGUGAAAAAACAGCCUUGUUUUGACUGGAGAGACAAUGUAAGAAAAUGUCUUUCUUCAAUAAGAGCCUUUCAAGGUUGACUAUACAAAAUGUAACGUGCAAGAUUAUGUUUCAGCAGUGGUGUAUCAGAUACUGCAAAUACUCACUGUUUGACCGUGACCACAAUCAUGCUGAUGGUGAUGUUUAAUUCCAGUUUGUGAUGCACAGCCAUAAGAAGAUCACCCCACUUCAUGGGCCUCUGGCGAUAAUGUCUCAUAUACUCUCAUCAGUAUCUGGCGCAGAACCGUGCUGUUCACAAACAUAUUCAUCACACAUGUAUUGCUCUCCAGUGGAUUUCAGUUUAUUUUCCUUGUAGAAAUGCAACAUAAUUCAAUAGAUGGCAUUAGAAAGAUACUCUGCGAAUGACAAUUCAUUGCUAAUGGUUUUAUAUCACCGGUUAAUUCCCAAACACUACUGACACAUUCAUUAUUAUUCUGAUAAAUUCAAUGAUACCUUCAGGGUUGCCAAGUCUGCAAUUUUCCUGUGGAAUUGGGCUACUUUCAAACUGUUGCCAGGGAACAUUUUUUUUACCCAUAGGUUAAAGGUUUGACAUAUUGCAUAAAAUAUAUUUGACAGAAAUGCUUGUGUUGGAAUAUUUUACCAAAUCUACCAGAUUUAUAUUUUACCAAUGCUAAAACUGUACUAGAUGAUGAGAUUUUUGUGAGAGAGGGGUACUUGUAGGGAGCCUGAUCCUGUGUGUGUCUAUUUUCAUUUUCAUGGUAACAAAU